AGCAGUAGCCGCGGUAAUACGUAGGGUGCAAGCGUUAAUCGGAAUUACUGGGCGUAAAGCGUGCGCAGGCGGUUAUAUAAGUCAGAUGUGAAAUCCCCGGGCUCAACCUGGGAACUGCAUUUGAGACUGUAUGGCUAGAGUGUGUCAGAGGGGGGUAGAAUUCCACGUGUAGCAGUGAAAUGCGUAGAUAUGUGGAGGAAUACCGAUGGCGAAGGCAGCCCCCUGGGAUAACACUGACGCUCAUGCACGAAAGCGUGGGGAGCAAACAGGAUUAGAUACCCCGGUAGUCCCUGUCUCUUAUAC
rnacentral:rRNA from 1 species